rnacentral:lncRNA from 10 species
UUUUAUAUGUAGUUAACUGUAAACCCUGAUGUGAAGACUUAAUGUGUUCAGGAAACAAAGAAUAAAAGGGAAGAAAUCCACCAUGAAAACAGUCAGAUUAUUCUGUUCAAGUUUCAAAGGAAGCUCUCAAAAGCUAGUGAUAGAGACAACUUUGAAUGAGAAAGCUUUUUCUUUUUCUUUCUUUUUUUUUUUUUAAGGCCUCCUUCCACCUCCUACCAAGGCUAAGGGUCUGGUAAACUCAGCAUUUUCUUCUUUAAACUAUGGAAUUUGUGACGAUUCAUGAUCAUUCAAGAGAAGAUUUGCACCAUAGAUAGAAGUAUUUGCGGGGGGCUGAGGGAGAAAUCUGGAGAGGAAUAGAGAAUAGCAAUAUGAUUAGAUGCUGAUGUGAGUGCUGAUCUCAAAGUAAAAACCUGGUUGGGAGACGGAGAUAGCCAGAUGGGUUUGGAGACUGAAAACCAAGGAGUUGUAUGUUCUUUUUUCAAACUAUGGAAAGAGAUAGCAUUCCCAAGGGUCUCCUGCCAACAUGGAGUAGCCAGAGGAAAGAAGACAUAUUUUGCGGGCAGAUAUAGGCGGAGAGUGGGUUGAGAUAGCCUCUUCACACUUUCUCCACCUACCUCCCAGCCCUCUUGAAUUUUUUCCUUGAGAUGUAUGAGAUCCAAAAAUGUUUUGUGUGUCUAAUAAAACAUUAGAAAUAGCUGAGAGUUGAGAGGUAGUCUUCCUGCAAGGGGUUACCACAAAAGAUGAUUGGUCAAAAUGACCAGUUACUGAAGAAUAAAAUGAGGCCAGGAGAGCCUUUUGCAGAAACUACAGGGUGGCCAGCAAAAGCCGUGAAUGCAAGGAGGAUGUGACUAAGCCUGAAAGGAUCACAGUGCCAGCCACCCUGAGGUAGGAGUGAGUCAGCAGAAGCAGGCCGCUGAGUUUCCAACAGCAAUCAUCUUGCACUUGCACAACAGGGAAACAGGAGUGUCAUCAAAAGUAAAUUCCAGCCGAGACAUUCUCUCCUAUAUGAGAAGCAAAAGCCUGGUGGGCCAGUUCCAGAUAUUUAUGGGAUGUUGCAAAAUUAUCUCAGAAGAGACCUUAAAGAACAUCUAGAUCGGCUGUAUUCAAACUGGUUUUGGCCACAGAACUCUUUCAUGAAGUGAAGUUUCACACAGAAGCCUAACAUAUAAAACAAAUACAGGUGGGACUUUGGAGAUACAUUUACUGAAAGGGGAGCACAACUGGAGCAG